rnacentral:rRNA from 1 species
CUACGGGUUGCACCAGUGAGGAAUUUUGCGCAAUGGGGGGAACCCUGACGCAGCAACGCCGCGUGAGUGAAGAAGGCCUUUGGGUCGUAAAGCUCUGUCAACAGGGAAGAAGUUAUUUCAUAUAAAUAGUGUGAGAUAUUGACGGUACCUGUGAAGGAAGCUUCGGCUAACUCCGUGCCAGGCAGCCGCGGUAAUACGGGGGAUGCAAGCGUUAUUCGGAAUUAUUGGGCGUAAAGGGCACGCAGGCGGCCUUGUCAGUCAGAUGUGAAAGCCCGGGGCUCAACCCCGGACGUGCAUUUGAAACAGCAAGGCUUGAGUACGGUAGAGGGAAGGGGAAUUCCUGGUGUAGAGGUGAAAUUCGUAGAUAUCAGGAGGAACACCGGUGGCGAAGGCGCCUUCCUGGGCCUGUACUGACGCUGAGGUGCGAAGGCGUGGGUAGCGAACAGGAUUAGAUACCCCGGUAGUC